rnacentral:rRNA from 1 species
GGACUCUAUUGAGGCCCCGUAAUCGGAAUGAGUACACUUUAAAUCCUUUAACAAGGAUCCAUUGGAGGGCAAGUCUGGUGCCAGCAGCCGCGGUAAUUCCAGCUCCAAUAGCGUAUAUUAAAGUUGUUGCGGUUAAAAAGCUCGUAGUUGGUUCUGCGUGCCGCGCUGUCGGUUCGCCGCCUGUCGGUGUAACUGGCAUGUCGCGGCAUGUCCUGUCGGUGGUGAACGGGGUCCACAAUGCUGCAUAGGCUUUUAUAGCCGAUGUUAGCGUCGUGUGCACUUCCGUUGGCCGAUCUCUCCUACUUCGGUGCUCUUAAACGAGUGUCGAGGUAGGCCGACACGUUCACUUUGAACAAAUUAGAGUGCUUAAAGCAGGCUGAAAUAUCUGCCUGAAUAGUGGUGCAUGGAAUGAUAAAACAGGACCUCGGUUCUAUUUUGUUGGUUUUAGGAAUAUGAGGUAAUGAUCAAUGUGGACUGGCGGGGGCAUUCGUAUUGCGACGUUAGAGGUGAAAUUCUUGGAUCGUCGCAAGACGCACUAGAGCGAAAGCAUUUGCCAAGUAUGUCUUAAUUGAUCAAGAACGAAAGUUAGAGGUUCGAAGGCGAUCAGAUACCGCCCUAGUUCUAACCAUAAACGAUGCCAGCCAGCGAUCCGCCGAUGUUCCUUUAAUGACUCGGCGGGGAGCUUCUACCCGGGAAACCAAAGCUUUUGGGUUCCGGGGGAAGUAUGGUUGCAAAGCUGAAACUUAAAGGAAUUGACGGAAGG